GAUGUUGGCUUAGAAGCAGCCAUCAUUUAAAGAAAGCGUAAUAGCUCACUGGUCGAGUCGGCCUGCGCGGAAGAUGUAACGGGGCUAAACCAUGCACCGAAGCUGCGGCAGCGACGCUGAUGCGUUGUUGGGUAGGGGAGCGUUCUGUAAGCCUGCGAAGGUGUGCUGUGAGGCAUGCUGGAGGUAUCAGAAGUGCGAAUGCUGACAUAAGUAACGAUAAAGCGGGUGAAAAGCCCGCUCGCCGGAAGACCAAGGGUUCCUGUCCAACGUUAAUCGGGGCAGGGUGAGUCGACCCCUAAGGCGAGGCCGAAAGGCGUAGUCGAUGGGAAACAGGUUAAUAUUCCUGUACUUGGUGUUACUGCGAAGGGGGGACGGAGAAGGCUAUGUUGGCCGGGCGACGGUUGUCCCGGUUUAAGCGUGUAGGCUGGUUUUCCAGGCAAAUCCGGAAAAUCAAGGCUGAGGCGUGAUGACGAGGCACUACGGUGCUGAAGCAACAAAUGCCCUGCUUCCAGGAAAAGCCUCUAAGCAUCAGGUAACAUCAAAUCGUACCCCAAACCGACACAGGUGGUCAGGUAGAGAAUACCAAGGCGCUUGAGAGAACUCGGGUGAAGGAACUAGGCAAAAUGGUGCCGUAACUUCGGGAGAAGGCACGCUGAUAUGUAGGUGAGGUCCCUCGCGGAUGGAGCUGAAAUCAGUCGAAGAUACCAGCUGGCUGCAACUGUUUAUUAAAAACACAGCACUGUGCAAACACGAAAGUGGACGUAUACGGUGUGACGCCUGCCCGGUGCCGGAAGGUUAAUUGAUGGGGUUAGCGGUAACGCGAAGCUCUUGAUCGAAGCCCCGGUAAACGGCGGCCGUAACUAUAACGGUCCUAAGGUAGCGAAAUUCCUUGUCGGGUAAGUUCCGACCUGCACGAAUGGCGUAAUGAUGGCCAGGCUGUCUCCACCCGAGACUCAGUGAAAUUGAACUCGCUGUGAAGAUGCAGUGUACCCGCGGCAAGACGGAAAGACCCCGUGAACCUUUACUAUAGCUUGACACUGAACAUUGAGCCUUGAUGUGUAGGAUAGGUGGGAGGCUUUGAAGUGUGGACGCCAGUCUGCAUGGAGCCGACCUUGAAAUACCACCCUUUAAUGUUUGAUGUUCUAACGUUGACCCGUAAUCCGGGUUGCGGACAGUGUCUGGUGGGUAGUUUGACUGGGGCGGUCUCCUCCUAAAGAGUAACGGAGGAGCACGAAGGUUGGCUAAUCCUGGUCGGACAUCAGGAGGUUAGUGCAAUGGCAUAAGCCAGCUUGACUGCGAGCGUGACGGCGCGAGCAGGUGCGAAAGCAGGUCAUAGUGAUCCGGUGGUUCUGAAUGGAAGGGCCAUCGCUCAACGGAUAAAAGGUACUCCGGGGAUAACAGGCUGAUACCGCCCAAGAGUUCAUAUCGACGGCGGUGUUUGGCACCUCGAUGUCGGCUCAUCACAUCCUGGGGCUGAAGUAGGUCCCAAGGGUAUGGCUGUUCGCCAUUUAAAGUGGUACGCGAGCUGGGUUUAGAACGUCGUGAGACAGUUCGGUCCCUAUCUGCCGUGGGCGCUGGAGAACUGAGGGGGGCUGCUCCUAGUACGAGAGGACCGGAGUGGACGCAUCACUGGUGUUCGGGUUGUCAUGCCAAUGGCACUGCCCGGUAGCUAAAUGCGGAAGAGAUAAGUGCUGAAAGCAUCUAAGCACGAAACUUGCCCCGAGAUGAGUUCU
rnacentral:rRNA from 1 species